rnacentral:lncRNA from 1 species
CACCGCCGAUUUCCAGCAGUCUCACGCCUCAGAUUCUACCCUCCUACUUUUCCCCAUCUUCAUCCAAUAUUGCAGCACCGGUUGAACAGCUUUUGGUUCGGACUCGUUCUGUGGGUGUCAAUACAUGUGAAGUUGGAGUAGUGACAGAGCCAGAGUGUCUUGGGCCCUGUGAACCUGGGACCAGUGUGAAUUUGGAAGGGAUCGUGUGGCAUGAAACAGAAGAAGGUGUCCUAGUGGUCAAUGUCACGUGGAGGAACAAAACGUACGUGGGAACCCUACUGGACUGCACCAAGCACGACUGGGCCCCUCCCAGGUUUUGUGAGUCACCGACAAGUGACCUGGAGAUGAGAGGGGGCCGGGGCAGAGGGAAGAGAGCGAGGUCUGCUGCUGCUGCCCCGGGCUCCGAGGCCAGCUUCACAGAGUCCAGAGGGCUGCAGAAUAAGAACAGAGGGGGGGCCAAUGGGAAAGGGAGGCGGGGCAGCCUCAAUGCCAGCGGACGAAGGACACCCCCAAAUUGUGCUGCUGAGGAUAUCAAAGCCAGCCCUUCCUC